CUUCUAAAAAAAUCAGUCGAACCUAACUCCAUCGCUUCUGCCAGUACCACCACCGUCUCUUACGCCACCACCGCAACCAACACCAUCGUCACAGCCACGACCGUCUCCAUUGUCACAACCACAACCAUCACUACUGUUUCUCCACCUCCUAAUCAAUCAAUUUAGAUCGAUUUUCACAUGAAUCAACUGAAAAACUUAAAUCUAGUGAUGAACCAACAAGAUUAAUCUCCAAAACCUAAUCUCGAGCAUCAGAAACGUUAGAUUCAUUUCAUUUCAACUGAACUGUACAUGAAGUUUCAAAUCCUGAGCGUACUUGAUUCACUAUUUGAACCCUAAAUUUGGAUCUCGUUCUUCUUCAGAUCGUCAUUGAUUCCGGUUUUGAUGGGGAUUGGGAUGCUAAAAGGAAAAGGUUGGUAUAGUCUUCUGGACAUUGGCACAAUAUAUUUUAGGCGAGAAUUAUGACGUUGAAUGAUGAUAGAACAGUUAUCACCUAUGUUACUGAUGGCCAGGGAUCAUGCAUGUUUCAAAUAAUAUACCAGAACUUUGCUUUCUGACGCUGGAUUGUCAGGAAGGAAGUGUGGAGACGGGAUACAUAACCAAUUCCAUGUGUGUAUAUCUUUUACCUUUAAGGGUUAAACCAAUGGAUUAGUUGUAGUAUGUUUUUAGUACCUACAGUUUGCUAAAUAAAUGGCAGUGGCUUUGACGCCAUGCCUGGUGUUGAGUGAUAUGUUUAGUACCCACAUUUUUCUCUUUUUCUUGAGGUUUAUUUGCUGCAAACUGAAUUAGAACCUGAGUAGCUAGAUCAGUGGCAAUAUCAGUCCAUGUUCAUGGUGAAAAAUAUAGAAUUGGUUCCCCUUUUAACUUUUCUACAUGACAGCAAGCCUAAACAAGGAGCUCCCAUGGGGUUAGAUUAUAUAUUUUUAGAAUUGGUUCAUGCA